CGGAGCAUAGCGCAGUCCGGUAGCGCGUCUGGUUUGGGGCCAGAGGGUCACGGGUUCAAAUCCUGCCGCUCCGACCA
rnacentral:tRNA from 1 species